ensembl:lncRNA
UGUUUCAAAGCAAGCGUUUUUCUAAACUUCGUGUUUGCGCUGGGUCUCGAAAGUCUGCGCGCGCGCGCGCCCGCCCCCCUGCGCAGUCACGCGUUACCGAAGACAUAUGUGCCCCUGGAGCACAAAACCAGACAUAAGGGUACAUUUUUUGUAACUGAGAUGUAUACAUCAUCUGAAAGCUGAAUAAAUAAUCUUUCCAUUGAUGUCUGGUUUGUUAGGAGAACAAUAUUUGAAAAUCUGGAAUCUGAAAUUGCAAGAAAAAUAAAUAAAUAAAAAAUCUAAAUACUGAGAAAAUCGCCUUUAAAAUUGUCCAAAUCAGGUUCUUAACAAUGCAUCCCUGCUAAACAAACAAAAACAAUAGACACCAUCACAGAAUUUGUAAUGGUUUUACUGGUUAUAAUGGGGCUUGUAUUGGUUUUAAUGGAGACUGUAAUGGUGCCUGUGGGUCUCUACUGGUAACUGGUCACCUUCUGUUGGUCGCUUCUUAAAGCCAAUAAAUCCAAAUAAUGGAAUAUGUCCCAAAACACGCUGCAGAAAACCAUUAUUUUAAUUAUUGGCUUUUAUGGUUAAAAGUUGAUGAUUUGUAAUGUUUGUAAUGGUCUUUGAAGUGGAAAGCAUAUAGAAUUUCUGUGAUGGUUUCUAUUAUUAUUAUUAUUAUUAUUAUUAUUAUUAUUAUUAUUAUUUUCAUUAUUUUUUUUUUAGCAGGGAUGUGUCACGGUUGGUAAACCGUGGUCUCAGGUUUUCACUAUGUGGGUGGAGUUUUGUGUGUCGCUCGUCUGCACUGAUUGUUUCAUGUGGGCGUCGCCGUUGAUUGUUCAUUUGCACCAGCUGUUACUCAUCACCUGAUCCCUAUAUAUAUGCCCUGUCUUUCGUCUUGUGUUUGUCAGAGCAUUUUAUGCAGUUUCCCGUCUGGUUGCCUGAUUCUCGUCCUUGUUUCUCUGUGCUGUUUGAUUCGCUGUUGUCUUCCCCGGAACCCCGUCCACUCUUCACCACCGGAUGCACCUACUACCACCAUGGACUGCUCAUCUCAGGCCUGUGUCACGCUCUCCUGCUGCAUCUACUCACCGCCACUUCCUGGAUCAUCGUCUUCCAUCGCUGUUACCACCUGUUUGUCAGAGCGUUUUAUGCAGUUUCCCGUCUGGUUGCCUGGUUCUCGUCCUUGUUUCUCUGUGCUGUUUGAUUCGCUGUUGUCUUCCCCGGAACCCCGUCCACUCUUCACCACCGGAUGCACCUACUACCACCACGGACUGCUCAUCUCAGGCCUGUGUCACGCUCUCCUGCUGCAUCUACUCACCGCCACUUCCUGGAUCAUCGUCUUCCAUCGCUGUUACCACCUGUUGUUUCCCUUGGACUCAGUUAUACAUUCCUGUUCUCAAUAAACUUUACAUUUAACUCUUGCAUUUGCUUCCUCACCCAUUUGUUACCGUUACAGGAUGUUACUAAUCAAAAAUUAAGUUUUGAUAUAUUUACGGUAGGAAAUUUACUAAAUAUCUUCAUGGAACAUGAUCUUUACUUAAUAUCCUAAUGAUUUUUGGCAUAAAAGAGAAAUGUAUAAUUGUGACCCAUACAAUGUAUUGUUGUCUAUUGCUACAAAUAUACCUGUGCUACUGAUGACUGCUUCUGUGCUGCAGGGACACAGAUGAGGAGUUUCAGCAACAUUAUUACACACAUUCAUCAUUUCAUUAUUUAAUAAACCUGUUCUCUCGAAAUACUCGUCA